GGAGCAGCCUGGUCCUGAGGAGCCAUCCCAUGGGACGGAGUGGUUGUGUGCUCCAAGGCCGGGCUACUCAACAGAGGGAGAAAGGCUGAAGAGACAAAGUGACCUGAGGAGAAACGUAUGGCAACGGAGGCAGCUGGAGACUAUAUUGCUUUAAGGUUCACAACUGCAACAUGUUAAGGACCAGGCUGUGAGGAGUCUUCAGUCUUGUCCCACAUCAGACUUCUAUGCAUGUAAGAAAGCUUUACAAGAAACAUUAGAAAGCUCUCUCUAGCUUUUCUUGCUCAUCUUUUGAGUGUCCAUAGCACUGUCCUGUUUUAAGAGUGAGCUAAGUAUCUAUAUUGCCCAGGAAUUAGAUUUUUUGUUUCUGGUGAUGUUUUGUAAUAUUUGAGGCCUCUGAUACAUUUGCAUGGGCAAAUUAACAGAAUGGGUACAUUCCCAAAAUUACUAGUGGGAUAACAAAACGUGUUUAUCCAAGAACACCUGCAAAACAAAUCAGAUACUGAGGGGAAAACAAACAAGUGUCAAUUUUUGUUGAUGAUGUUAUCUUAAGCACCAUAGCAGUGAGAGAUUUUUGUGAAGAGUGAACUGAGUGGGGGAUAAAAACUUUGCAUGCUUUCUUUAUGUAAUUAAUUAGAAAACAUGUGAAUUAAUGUUCUAUUAUGCAAGACAUCUUAAAAAUCAGUGGUGCCACAGUUGGAUGAUUCAUUUAUGAGUCACUUGCAAACCCAUAAAAGCUCCCAAUAAAUUUCUGAUUUAAUAAUUAUAUUUAUGAACUUUGAUUAAACUCUCUAAACACAGAUGCUAAAAAUAUGGUCAUCUUAAAUUCAAAGGUCAGCCAAAUUUACAACGAAUUUAUAUGAGAAAAUCUGUAUUUUCAUGUUGUUGAUUCCUUGGGAGACGUUUACAGAGAAGACUGCAGUACUCCCCGUGUUUAUCCUGGUCUGAGCCUUCCCAGACUGAGUGAACUGUUACCUUGUUUGCAAGCAGCAAACCUGAGGUUUAGCAUAACAAAGCAAUUUUUUUUUUCUUUUUUCUUUUUUCCCCUCUAAUAAUGUAAUGUUAAGACUAAUUUCUGUGGGUAAAAUAUAGGCUAACAGAUGGGACUUAGAUUGUUUCUUAAGGCCAACAGGCUUUAGAGAAAUUAGAUUCAUGAAGUUUCUCUCUGAACAUCUGCCACAAAAUGAAGUUUGGAAACAACAGUGUACUUCCCCAGCUAAUGAUAGGACUUGAUGACAACAGCAGCUCUCUCAAUUAGCUAUCAUUUGUACCAUUAAUGGACUUUAAAGUUCCAGGUACAAUUACAAGUGUCACAUUAAAGUCAAGUGUACAUUUAACGGGUUAGGCGUUAUAAAUGUGCAGGAAACCAUACUGUGAGUACUGUACAAUUAUAAUUAAUUUCUUCUUUACUAUUCCAUACCUGCAUUUUAAUUUGGAUUGAAGAUUUUAUUUUGUCCUUUUAAAUGGUGAACAGAAAGGAAGAAACUACAGAUCUGCCCUAAUUUUGAAGUCUAUACAACAAUAAACAACACCUGAGGGUAAA